GGCGGGAUAACUCAGAUGGCUAGAGCACACGGUUCAUACCCGUGGUGUCGCAGGUUCAAAUCCUGUUCCCGCUACUA
rnacentral:tRNA from 1 species